GUCCACUAUCAUUCCUGUGCCCAAGAAAACAAGACCAGCCUGGCUGAAUGACUGCAGCCCAUUUUUCUGCAUGACA